rnacentral:rRNA from 1 species
GACAGAGGGUGCAAACGUUGUUCGGAAUUACUGGGCGUAAAGCGCGUGUAGGCUGCUUCGCAAGUCGGAUGUGAAAGCCCUGGGCUCAACCCAGGAAGUGCAUUCGAAACUGCAGAGCUGGAGUCCUGGAGAGGAAGGCGGAAUUCUCGGUGUAGAGGUGAAAUUCGUAGAUAUUGGGAAGAACACCGAUGGCGAAGGCAGCCAUCUGGACCGACACUGACGCUGAGGCGCGAAAGCGUGGGGAGCGAACAGG